AUGAAGGGGACACAAGAAAAGUUUCUGCCUUACCAGGAGGUUUCACUUCUUGAAAACGAUCCCCGGGGACUGCCUGACGUGCUUCAUGCUACCUUAAUUAGGAGAACCUCUGCAGCCCCCACCCUGUCAGCAGGUGUAGAUGUAUAUUUUAUUAGGUCAGUAACACAUUUAAAAUACUUCUCUUUGGGCUGGCCUUCGAGCGACAGCGAUGCAAGAUGGCAGCCACCACGGGCUCAGAGAAUUUAUGAAAACCGAAUAUACAGUCUUAAAAUAGAAUGUGGACCUAAAUACCCAGAAGCACUCUCACUUUGUAAGAUUUGUGGCAAAAAUUAAUAUGAAUGGAGUUAAUAGUUCUAAUGAAGUGGUGGAUCCAAGAGCCAUAUCAGUGCUAGCAAAAUGGCAGAAUUCAUAUAGCAUCAAAGUUAUCCUGCAAGAACUUCGGUGCCUAAUGAUGUCUAAAGAAAAUAUGAAACUCCCUCAGCCACCUGAAAGGGACAGUGUUACAGCAAUUAAUCAAAAAGAAAAACCACAGGCCCUUACCCUUACCCGCAUUUCAAUUCAAGCAGUCUUCAUUUUCCACAGUAGUAGAUUUUCUAGAUACGUCUUGUAGACCUCAAAGUACUGGAAAGGAAGCUCCCAUUCAAAGGCAAUUUGUCUUAAGAUACUGCAAAUGAUACUAAUUUUGUGUCCAUUUGAAAUAUAUAAGUUGUGCUAUAACAAAUCAUCCUGUCAAGUGUAACCACUGUCCACGUAGUUGAACUUCUGGGAUCAAGAAAGUAUAUUUAAAUUGGUUCCCAUCAUCGCUGGUGGGGCACAUCUAAAACUCAACGGUGAAAGGACACAUCGCACAAUCAUCUUGCUGCUGAUUACGUGGCCUGGGGUCUCUGCCUUCUCUCCUUCCCCUUCCCUUGCCUCCAUCCUUGCCUGCAACAGCCCUCCAGUUUGGGGGCUUGUUAGAGUGGAUGAGAUGUGAAGGUUUCAGAUCGCAGCCUAUGGGACUACUGCUGGGAAUGUAGGGUGCCUUGCCUGCACCCCUGGUUUCUUUCUUUAAGUCUUAAGCGAUGCCCCCUUCCAAGCCAUCAUCUCCUCCCCACUCUCCUCCACUCCUGCCCUUGGCCAAAGCGUAGAUUGUAAUCCCUCUGCUCCCCUCUGAGAUUGGCCUUUAGUGAGGAAUUCAGGGCUCUCCCAUAUGUUCUCUCCUCACCUUUAUCGAGGGGUGCUGCUUCUCCUCCCUCCUUCUCAAGUCCCUCUUUGCUCUGUCACCACCCAACACUUUCCAUGACACUCCUUGCCAUCAGGUAAGGUUGGACAGAGUCUCUGACCUCUGUCGUUUAGUUUUGGAACCACAUUUAUUCACUCAACCAGCCUGGGAAAUGAAUUUGGGGUCCUCAGCCCUGCUACCCUUUGCUGUUAUCAUCAGCUGAUGUGUUUUUAGCUCAGGUUUUGAUAAGGUGAAAAGAACAGUCCACCAGGGUUACUCAGACCUGCUAGCUCUCAGAGUCUUUGGUGGUUAAACUUGGAGAAAGCCCACAUGAAGACACUCCUAAGCACACACGGUCCCUCUGAAUUGUUUU